rnacentral:rRNA from 1 species
UACGUAGGUGGCGAGCGUUGUCCGGAAUUACUGGGUGUAAAGCGCGUGUAGGCGGGAGGCCAAGUCUGUGGUGAAAUCGCCUGGCUUAACUGGGCGGGGUCCAUGGAACUGGUCACCUGGAGGUCGGUAGAGGCAAGUGGAAUUCCCGGUGGAGCGGUGAAAUGCGUUGAUAUCGGAAGGAACGCCGGUGGCGAAAGCGAGUUGCUGGAUCUCUUCUGACGCUGAGGCGCGAAAGCUAGGGGAGCAAACGGGG